rnacentral:sRNA from 1 species
ACGUGAAUUUCGCUGUUGUGGAGAGUUUGGCUUUUCUUCAGUUCGCCUAGCUCCAGCAGGUGCUGUUACUUUUAGUUUGCAUGAUGGCGCGAAUGGCGUUUGGUUGGUUGCGUCGUUGUGUACGUCCAGAGCCGUCUGGUUCUUUCGUCUAGCUUCUCGUAGCAUGCCGACAUGAUGUGUCUUGUUAGUCGUUUU